rnacentral:rRNA from 1 species
CAGCCGCCACGGGAAUACAGAGGGUGCGAGCGUUAAUCGGAUUUACUGGGCGUAAAGCGUGCGUAGGCGGCUUCUUAAGUCGGAUGUCAAAUCCCUGAGCUUAACUUAGGAAUUGCAUUCGAUACUGGGAAGCUAGAGUAUGGGAGAGGAUGGUAGAAUUCCAGGUGUAGCGGUGAAAUGCGUAGAGAUCUGGAGGAAUACCGAUGGCGAAGGCAGCCAUCUGGCCUAAUACUGACGCUGAGGUACGAAAGCAUGGGGAGCAAACAGGAUUAGAUACCCGCGUAGUCCCUGUCUCUUAUAU